rnacentral:piRNA from 1 species
UGCGGUAAUCCAUGCCCAUGGUGUCAACA